rnacentral:rRNA from 1 species
GAUGAACGCUGGCGGCGUGCUUAACACAUGCAAGUCGAACGAAGCACUUUUGACAGAUUCUUCGGAUGAUGGAUUUAGUGACUGAGUGGCGGACGGGUGAGUAACGCGUGGGUAACCUGCCUCAUACAGGGGGAUAACAGUUAGAAAUGACUGCUAAUACCGCAUAAGCGCACGGUAUCGCAUGAUACAGUGUGAAAAACUCCGGUGGUAUGAGAUGGACCCGNGUCUGAUUAGCUAGUUGGUGAGGUAACGGCUCACCAAGGCAACGAUCAGUAGCCGGCCUGAGAGGGUGAACGGCCACAUUUGGGACUGAGACA